AACAAAACAUUCAAAACAAGACAUUCCGUCACAGCCUACUUGCCAACGUUGAAGACCAUCCAGUAACCCCGAAGAGUUACAAGCAGAAACCUCCAGAAACAGCCGCCCUGGAAUCCAACAAAAGAAUCCCUUGUCACUAAUGCUCAAUAUGGUGGGGGAGGGCAUGGCUUCUUCUUGUCACCGUGAUGUUUGGGAGGAUAGUUGUGAUGAUCAUCGUGUUUCGGAGGCUUGUUGUGGUGGUCGUCGUCAUGUUUCGGAGGCUUGUUGUAGUGGUCGUCGUCGUGCUUCGGGGGAUUUUUGUGGUGGUCGUCGUCGUGUUUUGGUGGAGGGCACGGCUUCUUCUUGUGAUGAUCGUCAUCGUGGUGUUUGGGAGGAUGCUUGUAAUCGUGAUCAUCAUGGCCGGGAGGAUUCUUCUUGUGAUGGGGAGGAGGAGAGUAU
rnacentral:lncRNA from 1 species